AUUGAACGCUGGCGGCAUGCCUUACACAUGCAAGUCGAACGGUAACAGGUUAAGCUGACGAGUGGCGAACGGGUGAGUAAUAUAUCGGAACGUGCCCCGUCGUGGGGGAUAACGUAGCGAAAUCUACGCUAAUACCGCAUACGAUCUACGGAUGAAAGCGGGGGAUCGCAAUACCUCGCGCGAUUGGAGCGGCCGAUAUCAGAUUAGGUUGUUGGUGAGGUAAAAGCUCAACAAGUCUGCGAUCUGUAGCUGGUCUGAGAGGACGACCAGCCACACUGGAACUGAGACACGGUCCAGACUCCUACGGGAGGCAGCAGUGGGGAAUUUUGGACAAUGGACGCAAGUCUGAUCCAGCAAUGCCGCGUGCAGGACGAAGGCAUUCGGGUUGUAAACUACUUUUGUACGGAACGAAACGGUGAGCUCUAAUGCAGUUUGCUAAUGACGGUACCGUAAGAAUAAGCACCGGCUAACUACGUGCCAGCCGCCGCGGUAA
rnacentral:rRNA from 1 species